rnacentral:rRNA from 1 species
GACGAACGCUGGCGGCGUGCCUAAUACAUGCAAGUCGAGCGAUGAAGCUUGGUGCUUGCACCAAUUUGAAGAGCAGCGAACGGGUGAGUAACGCGUGGGGAAUCUGCCUUUGAGCGGGGGACAACAUCUGGAAACGAAUGCUAAUACCGCAUAACAACUUUAAACAUAAGUUUUAAGUUUGAAAGAUGCAAUUGCAUCACUCAAAGAUGAUCCCGCGUUGUAUUAGCUAGUUGGUGAGGUAAAGGCUCACCAAGGCGAAGAUACAUAGCCGACCCGAGAGGGGGAUCGGCCACAAUUGGACUGGGACACGGCCCCAGCCUCUUCGGGGAGCAACAGGAGGGGAACUUUGGCAAAUGAGGGAAGGCUGGCCGAGGCACGCCGGGGGAGUGGAGAAGGGUCUCGGGUCGUUAAACUCCGUUUGUAGGGAAGAACGUUGGUGAGAGUGGAAAGCUCAUCAAGUGACGGUAACUACCCAGAAAGGGACGGCUAACUACGUG